AAGACCGGGCAGAUAAGCAUACGCAAGAGUCUGGAUGACCAAGACUUUAACAGACUUCCGCCAAAUAUGAGCCCGCCAUCGACAACACGAGCAGGAAAAGAGUGGCAAAGUGAUGAAAACGAAGAUCCCGAAGCUAAUUCAGCCAGAAAAUGGAUAGUGAUGAUGGAACUAAGGAAACUUUAAAUUGCUGAAAUAAAACAAGAAAAAAGAAAUUCAAGCCGAAAACAAGAAUCAAUAAUAACCUCAAACCAGCAAUCUUUGAAAAUGCAAGAAUGUAGAACCCAGCAGUAAUUAAUUGCCAGAGUCCUGUGGUUCAAAUGUUCCAGUACCCGUCAGCAACACUUCUGUACCUAGCAGUAUGCUUAAGACACACCUGUACCAGUCAGCAACUUGAAAGAAUCCUGCUAUACUCGUGUGUUUGUGCCAUACAAUAACUCAAUUGUACUUAACGGUCAAGAUGUGUUAACCUCUGUCAGCAACACCUCAGAGCCUUGCAGUUACAAUAAGCCUGUGCGAGUAAGCAACUCGAAAGAACCCUAGUGUCAUACUUGUGUGCUUGUGUCAAAUAACAAAAUUUAGAAUGUAAUUCUUUGAGAUUUUGGAUCAACUCAAAGGAGAAUAUAUAAACAUGAUUUGCUGUGGUUCGGAAUUAUCAUAGUGCUUAACAGUAAUCUUAUUACAGUUUAUUUCUAGUCAUCAUGCUCUAUUGUUUUGAAAUAUUAAUUAAGCUCUGAUUUUAAUUAUAUAAUUUUACCUAAAUUCAAAUCUUUGUCAGAAAUUACAUUAUUUUGCUUUAUACAUAUCUAUACACAUGGGAAAAUAGCAGUCAGAAUUCCAAAGAUAAUGAUUUUUACAUAAACAUGUAUCUGUUGUUUAUGUACGUUGCAUUCUGUUCCUAUGAUAUAUUUUUGAUGUAUGAAUUUCAAAAGCCUAUUGAUGGAAUUUCCAUUCUUAUGUUCUGAUCAUGUUUUGUUAAAAGUGUUUGGAAAAGUUUUGAUUAUAUUUUGUUACAUACGAUUUAAUAGUAUUUUACUUGAGAUCUCAUGUAACAAAACAUUUUCAAAACACUAUUUUGAUAGUAUUGUGAAACAAUGUUUUGUUAGUAUUUUAUUGAUAUUUUGUUACCUCAUUUGCAUAUGGUUUUCAAAAACUACUGCAGUAUUUUGAUGAUAUUUUGAAAGAACGUUUUGUUAGUAUUUUGUUGACGUUUUGUUACCUCAUUUGCAUGUGAUUUGCUGUACUAUUAAAACGUCUUCAAAACGCAACAAA